rnacentral:rRNA from 1 species
CUACGGGGGGCACCAGCUAAGAAUCUUCCGCAAUGGGCGAAAGCCUGACGGAGCGACGCCGCGUGAAUGAUGAAGGCCGAGAGGUUGUAAAGUUCUUUUCCUAGGGAGGAAUAAGUCUUGCAGGGAAUGGCAGGAUGAUGACGUUAACUAGGGAAUAAGCCCCGGCUAAGUGACGUGCCAGCAGCCGCGGUGAACACGUAAGGGGCGAGCGUUGUUCGGAAUUAUUGGGCGUAAAGGGUGCGCAGGCGGUAAGCAAAGCCUGGUGUGAAAGAUCUCAGCUCAACUGAGGGGACGCACUGGGAACUGGUUUACUAGAGUAUAGGAGGGGUAGUUGGAAUUCCAGGUGUAGGGGUGAAAUCUGUAGAUAUCUGGAAGAACACCGGUGGCGAAGGCGAACUACUGGCCAUAUACUGACGCUGAGGCACGAAAGCGUGGGGAGCAAACAGGAUUAGAUACCCGAGUAGUC